UACGUAGGUGGCAAGCGUUGUCCGGAUUUACUGGGCGUAAAGGGCGUGCAGGCGGUUUGUUAAGUGCAGGGUGAAAGCUCCCGGCUCAACUGGGAGAGGUCCUUGCAUACUGGCGAACUCGAGGGAGGCAGAGGAAAGUGGAAUUCCCGGUGUAGUGGUGAUAUGCGUAGAUAUCGGGAGGAACACCUGUGGCGAAGGCGGCUUCUGGGCCUUACCUGACGCUGGAGACGCGAAAGCGUGGGGAGCGAACCGG
rnacentral:rRNA from 1 species